GGAUGAGUAAAGUGGCGCACGGGUGAGUAAUACAUGGGAACAUGCCCUCGAAUGGGGAAUAACGUUUGGAAACGAACGCUAAUACCGCAUAGUCUCGCAAGAGUAAAGGUGGCGCCGCAAGGGCUACCGUUCGAGGAUUGGCCCAUGUCCCAUUAGCUAGUUGGCAGGGUAAUGGCCUACCAAGGCGACGAUGGGUAACUGGUCUGAGAGGAUGAUCAGUCACACUGGAACUGAGACACGGUCCAGACUCC
rnacentral:rRNA from 1 species